AUGGAAAUGAUGCAGAAACAGGACACUGCUGGGGAAGAAAAGGUAGGGGUGUGCACAGUGGUGUAGUCCAGCUGGGAUUCACUCAGCAAAAUUAGAAUUUAGGUUAUUUCCCAGCCAGUAUAAGUGACAUUUGAAUCCUGCUGAACGGCUCUGCCCGACUUUAGUUUUGUGCCAAACUGGGUUUAAGACGGAAGCGAGCGGAAAAAACAAAUACGCUGACUGUCUUUGUUCCUUGGGAGACUAAUCAGUCGAAAGAAAAGCAGCAAGCAUCUCACGUCCUGCACGGAGGUGGACACUGAGUGAACCCCUGUCAGAUAGGACGACCUCGCCGGCGGUGCAGGAGACUUCAGGCAAAGGCGCUGGUUACCAUAAACCAGACAGAGGAUGAAGGAGUCACUCGCCAGCCACAACAUGAAGUACACCAUGACAAAUAUAUGGGAGCUGCAACAGGAGGUCCUAAUUCUGAAUAUUCCCCCUUUUUAUUUUUUUACUUUUCUUGUUCAGAAAACAGCAAGUGAAACAUUGAACAGUUGGACAUUUAGAAAGGGUAACAUUUAUUUCACCUGUGAAGAUUAAAGUGCAUUUUAUGUUCAGCCCAAAAUUUCGCCAGAUCGUCAAAUAGAUCAACAUUUUCUGAGUGUUGUCACGAUACUAAU